GCUGCCGCAAAUUACACAAGAAGAAGAAGUAGAAGACAUUAGGGGGGUUCGCAGACUGGAAGUUCUUUUUUGUUUCGGAGCGGUGUGGCGUUCGGCAACCGAGAGAUCGUGAACUUGUAGAUCUGGUCCAGCUGUGGCAGAGAAUGCAGAGUCAAGCUUUUUGCGCCGACAUUGUUCGGAUCAUUGAUCUGUCUCCAGUUCAGGAGACAUUUGCCACGUCUCCAAUCAACGUUUGUCUUCAAUGCCAGAUUACAUCACUGUUAAAAGUAUGCCAAGUACCUUCCCCUUUCUGGCUGUCACUACUGUGCCAAACCAUUUCCAUAAGGCCUAGUGCCCCACUGUGGGGCACGUGACAAACUUGGAUGAUGCACGACACUAAUAAUGGUAGCUCUUGACCAUAAACCUCAAGCAUGGAUUCUAGAUCAUCCAACUCCUUACAGAAGAGAUGCUGGUGAAUGCGGUCAUUAAUAGCAUCCUCCGUAUCAGUCAGGAGGCAGGCUGUAGAUGUGUCUUCCCUUUGCAGAAUCAACCAGUUCUGUUCCAGUGUUAUGCCACUCUGAAUUACACAGACCUCUGAGGCAAUCUGAUAUAUGAAGGAAGCUGUUUUCUGGAACAUUGGGUGUGCGGAGUGUCUGGCCCAUGAGCUCAUCAGUGCCACCAAGGUGGUAAAGAGUACAGUUGCAAGAAAAACAUGAACUAGUAGAUCUGCUCCAGUUGUGGCAGAGAACGCCGAGAUCAAGCUUUUUGCACCGACAUUGUUCGGAUCAUUGAUCUGUCUCCAGUUCAGGAGACAAUUGCCAUGUCUCCACUCAACGUUUGUCUUCAAUGCCAGAUUACAUCACUGUUAAAAGUAUGCCAAGUACCUUCCCCUUUCUGGCUGUCACUACUCUGCCAAACCAUUUCCAUAAGGCCUAGUGCUCCACUGUGGGGCACGUGACAGACUUGGCGGCUGCACGACACUAAUAAUGGUAGCGCUUGACCAUAAACCUCAAGGAUGGAUUCUAGAUCAUCCAAAUUCUUAUAGAAGAGAUGCUGGUGAAUGCGGUCAUUAAAAGCAUCCUCCGUAUUGGUCAGGAGGCAGGCUGUGGAUGUGUCUUCCCUUUACAGAAUCAACCAGAACCCUGAGGCAAUCUGAUAUGAAGGAAGCUGUUUUCUAGAACAUUGGUUGUGCAGAGUGUCUGGCCCAUGAGCUCAUCAGUGCUGCCAAGGGAUCAUCAAACGCCAUCAAGAAAGAUGACCUGAGAAAACGUUGUGAUGCCCACUUUUUUUUUUUUUUUUUUUUUUCUCUCUCCCCAAAUCUGUUGCUUUCACGAAAACAAAAUUUGAAUAAACUUGAUUGUCAAUGUGUCAUUGUAAAUAUCAAAAAUAAUUAUUGGUAUAUCUGAAGAGGAAACGCCCAUUUUCAAACCCCGUUGUAUGACAAAUGUUUAUAUGCAUAUAUUUUUGUUGUAAUUUAGACUGUCCAGGUAAAAUAAAAAACACUUCUUACAUGAUCAAAAAAGAAACUUGGAUUAUAUUAAGUGAAUGUAAUUCUAUAUUAAAACCAAAUAUGUACACUUAA